rnacentral:tRNA from 1 species
GCGGGAAUAGCUCAAUUGGUAGAGCUUCAGCCUUCCAAGCUGAAUGUUGCGGGUUCGAGUCCCGUUUCCCGCUCAA